ACAAGACCGAACAAAGUAGAUCUUCUCCCUUUCACAUGAAUACUGACUUUUUCUUUGCUUUCACUUUCACACCAAAAUCCUAAUCGCCGCACCUAACAAAAAUCUGGCUCUCUCUCUCUCUGAACACCACAUCUUCUAUUUCCUCUCCUACUGUUUGUCUCUCCGAUACUGAAGAAAGCUGCAUCUUCUCUCUUCGCAUUGUUGUUCUGCCAAAGUGUCAUCCUUCCUCAUCAUCCCCCUUCAUAGAUUUGCACUCUCUCUUUGUGUGAUCCGAGUGGAUUUUUUUUAGUACCAUUUUUUUCUUCUUUUGUUGUUGAUCUAUGUAGUAUAUUGCAGAACUAGGUUGUACUUUAUUUGCUAUAAUUUUUGUUUUGUUUUGUUUUCUUGUUGAUCUUUUACGAUGUGGCUUGCCUUGGGUAUGGUCUGUAGGGUGGAUCUACGGUUGGUUUUUAUUUUUUGUUUUGUGGGUUGUUGUUUGUUUACCAUAUGAUCUCAAACUGCACCACCCUCCCUCUCCCUCUCAAACUUCAUACACUUGAAGAGACCAUGUUUAGAUCUGUGUUCCUAGGGUUUUUAUGUUUUUGAUUCACGUCUAUUAUAUUUUUCUUUUGGUUGAUAUUUAUUCUUGCUUUUCUGUUUCUAUUGUUAUUCUGUUUUGUAGUAAUUUUUUUUUCUUUUUUUCGGUUGAUAUUUAUUCUUGCCUCAUCAGAUCCGCCACCUACGGCCCCUUGUCGUCGCCCACGAGCCCUCCCUCACAGCUUCUGAAGGAUUGUUCUUGAUGGAGAAAGGGGAAGAAUGCACUUCUGCUAGGCGAUCGCUGUUUUUUGUGGAAAACAGUAAUUAUAUGGAGACGCCAACACCAGGGGAUGAUGAGGUAGUGAUUGAUAAUCAUGGUGUAGUGUUGGGGAAUGAUGAUGAUGAUGUGGUGGUUUUUGAGCCAACGCCGGGAAAUGAUAAUGAUGGUAUUUCAGAACCAACCUCAGGAAAUAAUGAUGAUGGGGUUUCAGAACCAACGCCGGGAAAUGAUGAUGAUGGGGUUUCAUUUCCAAUGCUGGGAAAUGAUGAUGGUGAUGGUGGGGUUUCAGAGCCAACGCCGGGGAUGUUUUUUAAAACUGAGAAAGAACUCAUUUACUACUACAAGUAAUAUGGGAGACAGGCUGGAUUCGGCAUAAUGACAAAAAGAAAUAAAAGGGAAGAUGAUGAGAGUGUUAGAUAUGUAACACUUAGUUGUGCUCGUGGUGGUAAGGCAAGAAAACGUAUUACCAACAUUUCUAAACCCCGCCCAACAACGAAUACUGAUUUUAAGGCGAGAAUUAAUGCAGUUUUGGCUGAUGGUGUCUUACGUAUAACUACUGUCUGCAAUGCACAUAACCAUGGGUUAAGUCCACAAAAGGCAAGAUUUUUUAGAUGUAAUCGCGCAAUUGAUGAUUCUGUAAAGAGGCAGUUAGAUAUUAACGACAAGACAGGCAUAGGUAUGUCUAAAAGUUUUAACUCAUUGGUUGUUGAGGCCGAUGGUUUUGAGAAACUUCCAUUUAUUGAAAAAGAUGCCCGGAAUUAUAUUGACAAAGCUCGACACCUUAGACUUGGCAAAGGAGGUGCUGAUGCACUUCGUGGUUAUUUUGAGAGAAUGCAGUAUAAGAAUGAUGGGUUUUACUCAUCGAUGGAUUUGGAUGAUGAUGGUUGAUUAAAAAAUGUCUUCUGGGCCGAUGCAUGCAGCAGAGCAGCGUAUGAGUAUUUUGGAAUGUUGUGACAUUUGAUACAACAUACCUGACAAACCGAUAUGGUAUGCCAUUUGCCCCGUUUGUUGGUGUUAACCACCAUGGUUAGUCUAUACUUUUGGGAGCGGGUUUGAUAUCAAGUGAAAAUACUGAAACAUUUGUUUGGUUAUUUGACACUUGGUUGAAAUGUAUGGAUGGGAGGUCGCCAAAAGCUAUCAUUACUGAUCAAGACAGGGCCAUAAAAAAUGCUAUAGCAAUAGUCUUUCCAAAUACUCGACAUAGAUACUGUUUGUGGCACAUAAUGAGAAAACUACCAGAGAAGUUGGGUUCAUAUGCUGAAUUUAAGUCUGGUUUAAAAAGUGGAUUGCAGAGAUGUGUUUAUGAUUCUCAUACUUCUGACGAGUUUGAGAAGUCUUGGGAGGUAUUCACUGAUACCUACAAUUUGAAGGAAAAUGCAUGGCUUCAAAGUCUCUAUAGUGAGCGAAUGUAUUGGGUUCCUGUAUAUCUGAAAGCGAAGAAAAUUCCCUGGAUAUGACAGAGAAGCUUAAGGCAAUGAAUUCGAUUUAUACUAAAUCAAAGCCCCAAGCGACUAUUGCAAGCACUCAUAUUUCCGCUGAUGCUGAAACUGGAAGUUCGAAAAAAGUGUUGAGUCCUCGUGUUGUCAGAGGUAAAGGUAGGCCCCCAUCAAAGAGGAAACAACCUACCAUAGAGAAGUUGCAAACCAAGAAUAAAGUUGGUGGCAAGCGACAGAGAAAAAAUAUGUACUAAAUGCCGCAGAUUCAGUAAACCAAAUUGGUACACCACAAAGUGUACCAUCGCAACUGCCUGGUACACAACAAAGUGUUAUUUCUCAGGUGAACUUCGAAAUGCAUGGCCCUCAGGUUAAUUAAUGGAAGACAUUGUAGACUGCUGCAGAAGACAAUGUAGACUUUUGUAUUAAUGAGAUUUGAUGGGUUUGGAUUGUGUAUUUACAUUGUAGACUGUUGAUGGGUUUGAUUUAUUUAAUGAAAUUUGAAGACUUAGAUUCCACAAA